GCCGGGCCGGGGGCACCGGGGAGUGCUGCGCCGGGCUCGGAGCAAAGAACAUCCCAAACUGCCUCCUCACCCUCAUGGACAGCAGGAAUGUCUUCCAUAGCUCCUGCUGAGGAAUGGCAGUGGCUGUGGGGAGCUCUGGCAGGAGCACCUGGAGAGCAGGGAGAGAUGGUGGAAUCAUCCGGG